rnacentral:tRNA from 1 species
ACCUGGGUGGCUCAGUGGGUUGAGCACCCGACUUCCACUCGGGUCAUGAUCUCACGGUUCGUGGGUUCAAGCCCCCGUCGGGCU